rnacentral:rRNA from 1 species
UACACACACUAGAGUUUGAUCAUGGCUCAGGACGAACGCUGGCGGCGUGCUUAACACAUGCAAGUCGAACGGUGAAGCCUUCGGGUGGAUCAGUGGCGAACGGGUGAGUAACACGUGGGCAAUCUGCCCUGCAUUCUGGGGCAAGCCCUGGAAACGGGGUCUAAUACCGGAUACGACCUGUCCCCGCAUGGGGGUGGGUGGAAAGCUCCGGCGAUGCAGGAUGAGCCCGCGGCCUAUCAGCUUGUUGGUGGGGUGAUGGCCUACCAAGGCGACGACGGGUAGCCGGCCUGAGAGGGCGACCGGCCACACUGGGACUGAGACACGGCCCAGACUCCUACGGGAGGCAGCAGUGGGGAAUAUUGCACAAUGGGCGAAAGCCUGAUGCAGCGACGCCGCGUGAGGGAUGACGGCCUUCGGGUUGUAAACCUUCUUUACAGCAGGGAAGAAGGCGCAAGUGACGGUACCUGCAGAAGAAGCACCGGCUAACUACGUGCCAGCAGCCGCGGUA